UGGGUCUGGUGUCUGCAGCAGAUACCAUGUGGCUGGUGCUGGGGGUCUCCUGUGGCUUGCAGCUGCUGGCAGGUCUGUGCACUGGGGUGACAGUGACUCAGAAGAAGUUCAUUGCCAUCAAGAAUGGGACCACUGCAAGCCUCCCCUGUGAGCAUGAUGACACUAGCUACUAUGUGAUCCUGUGGUAUCGGCAGCAGGAAGGCGCAGGAGGGGAGAUGGAGUUUGUAGCCCAGCAUGCAGAGGGAAAUGAAGUAGAGAUAGGACCUAAAUUCAAAGAAAGGUUCACAUUGAAUCGAAAAAAUACUCUGAAGGCCUCCCUGGACAUCAAGGAAACAGCCGAAGACUCUGCAGUGUAUUUCUGUGCAGCUAGCAAAGCACAGCGUGCCUUUCCUGCCUCACAGCUGUGCAAAAUCUAACAAGCCCUACCCAUUUUGCCUCCUUCUCUGCACAUGAGACAGCCACAGUCACAAUAAAGGCUGUGUGGUGAAAGCAGGGCACAGUUUCUAUCUCUAUG